rnacentral:rRNA from 1 species
UCGGGAAUUUUGGGCAAUGGGCGAAAGCCUGACCCAGCAACGCCGCGUGAGGGAUGAAGUAUUUCGGUAUGUAAACCUCGAAAGAAUGGGAAGAAUAAAUGACGGUACCAUUUAUAAGCUCCGGCUAACUACGUGCCAGCAGCCGCGGUAAUACGUAGGGAGCAAGCGUUGUUCGGAUUUACUGGGCGUAAAGGGCGCGUAGGCGGCGCGGUAAGUCACUUGUGAAAUCUCUGAGCUUAACUCAGAACGGCCAAGUGAUACUGCUGUGCUAGAGUGCGGAAGAGGCAACCGGAAUUCUUGGUGUAGCGGUGAAAUGCGUAGAUAUCAAGAGGAACACCUGAGGCGAAGGCGGGUUGCUGGGCCGACACUGACGCUGAUGCGCGGAAGCCAGGGGAGUAAACG